GUUGCUUCUUGGCCUUUUGGCUAAGAUCAAGUGUAAAACAUUUAGAUAAGAACUAUUCCCACUACUUUUUAAACUUUUCAAUGAAAUUGAAAGGGAAGCAAUAUUUCCAAAUUCAUUCCUAGAAGCAAGUGUUACUUUGA
rnacentral:snRNA from 1 species